UGGCAUACAAAUAUACACUGCAAAUUUUUAUUAUUAUUUGCAUAAAAAAAACAUACAAGGAAUAAGCCUAAUGUUAGGAAUGGUUCGUUUUAGGACUCUUAAACCUAACAAGUUCACAAGAAAAUAAAGCAAGUUUACAAGAUUAUAGUUUCAUGGUAGUUAUCUGUCUCUCAAACAAAAAAAAUCUGUCUCUCCUCCAAGCUAGCAAGUACCCAGCCAAGUGAUAACAUUCUUGCUGCAGCAGCAUAUCCACAUAUCCUCUGUGCAAUUUGCUUGUCACUGCAUCUUUCAAAUUAAUCUUUGGCACCAUCUGAUAAUGAAAGCCAUGGUUGAAUUUCAAAGUCAACUGCACCUUCCUAUAUGACAUCAAAUAUACUCUCUCAGUCUAUGCACAAGUAUAUAUAAAGUUAGGGGUGAUGAGAGCACAGUCAAAAAGAAUAUAAUGAAUGAAUUGAAUUUACUAGCCCAAAAUGGAGGUACACUACAGUAAGUAUCCAUCUCUAAUUCUUCUUUACCCGAAGUCUUUUAUGCAUAGCACUAGCAUCCCUCAUAUACCUUAUAGAUGAUAACAUCAACUUUAUAAAUUGAAACAAACAUAAAAAUGAUCGGCAGCAAAAAAACAAGCAUUUCACACAAGCAAAUAGAAACAACAUAUAAAGCAAACAUAGAGGCUCCCCAAUUUUUCCCCUACCUUUGUUAACUUUCACAUGAAGUAUGAAGCUCCUAAUAAAAAGAUAUAACCAUUAGUUUAACCAAUAGUAUGCAAUGUCUGUUUCAUUUAUAACUCAAUUUAACACUAAGCUCAGAUGCUAAACAGAAGAUACAAUAGUAAGCCAAAACAGUUUCACACAAUAACACAACAACACAAUUUAGCUUUUUGAACCAGUCGCCUUAACUUCAAAAACUGUACAAAUCCUUAAGGAAUUUGAUUUCGAUUUCUUCUAAUGACUUAUAGCAGAUACACAAAAGAAACUCAUAGACUUGGAAUCAACUUAAAAUGAUUUUUCUUGAAUUAGUUAUGGAUUUUCAAAGUUCAGCUUCAGUUUCAGGUUUUUCUGAAAAUUUCCUGCUAUGUGCCUAAACUUAGAAUUUAAAAGCAAAUAAGAAACUCUAUGUGAUACUAAACUUCUAGCAACUGAACAUAACCACUCCAAUGUUUCAAAAAGGAAACACACAAAACUUGCAACAUAAGUAGCUAAAUUAGAUUACCACAACGACAGCUAACAUAAGAUAACAAGUAAAUAUAGUUCUACACUUCUAAUGUUCAUCCAACUUUAAGCAUACCAAAACCUUGAUCUCUAACUUCAAUUUGAGAAACAAAUUACAUGUAUAAGAACCUUAUAGUCUAAUCUAUAUAUCUAUAUAAUAACAUAAAAGAGUAAGAAUCAUAGGCAAACACUGAGACUAAAAAGCAAAGGUACAAAAUCAGAAAAGUGCCUAACUGAAAUUCUGACCAGAAAAGCCUUUGGUUAAAAACGAUAUGGUUCAACUAGGAAUUAAAGCUUGGUGUCUUCAUGGCAUUUGAAAUAGACAUCCUAAAUAUCAAUCUGGAACUGGAAUCGUACAAAAAAGAUUUUCCUACAAUUACUUAUGAUUUUUCAAAGUUGAACACCUGCAUCACGAAAAUCACUGAUUUUGACUCAGAUUAAGUUUCCCCUUUUAAAGAUGAUUCCCAAUAGGUAACAACUAACAACAAAGAAAUACCCAAUCCUAAUGCUUUACUUCCUACCAAGAUGAUCCUCCAUAACAAGAAGCAUAAAUACUGAAGUAAAACACCAACAUUGAAAGCAGAAAGUCAUAAAGAAUCAUCUAUAUAUACUAUUACAAUAUACAUAAUAAACACAACAUAUACGUUGACAAACACAACAACUCUAUAGAAACUCAUCUUUUCUGUAAGAAUUGACUAAGUGACUAACAUGGUUCACAAAGGAAUAACCAAUUGAUCAAGAACAUAAAAGAUGCAGACCUGAAUUGUUCUUCAUAUAUUCCUAUUCUCUCUCUNNNNNNNNNNNNNNNNNNNNAGUGUAGCCGCCCGGUAAAUGUUUCGAGGGUGCACAAGGUUGACUACUUUUCACGCGUCACCCUUAGUAAGGUCAUCAAGAUAAAACACUUGUUUUACCGAUGUGACAAAAACGAACGGGUCAUUUUCGUAACAACUUGUAGCAGUGUUCACCGAUAAUAUUUUGUACUGAUCGGUCUUCAUGCUCUGCGGCCUAGUAUCAAACCAUCUACACUUGAAGAGGUGCACUGUCAUGCCUUGCCCAUAAACGAGUUCCACCACUGAAUGGAGAACACCGUAAUAGUCAACUCCAUUCCGCCCAUCAUGCGCCAUGACCCCAGAAUUUUGUGUUCUCCGUCUGCUGUCUCUCUGUUCACAUAUAAAUUGCACGCCAUUCAUCUUGCACAUCGGAUAAACUCUUGACAUUAUCGGCUUCAUCGCUAGAAGUCUUAGUUCGUGCGACCAAUUUGGGUGACCAUCAAAUUGAAUAUGGUUCAUCUGCAACCACCCAUUCAACUGUAAAUAUGGAUAAUUAUGCAAUAAACAUAAACACGUACAGAAAUAUUAAAUUACGUAUCCAGCCGCCAAAAUAAUCUGCGAACUCUCUGUUGUGGUACUCGAGAUGACCUUGAAUGUCUGGACAAUAUAGAUGGAUGUCUUUCCAGUAUUCAACUUCUCGAUAGUUAACACUAUAAAAAACAAGUAGAUUGGCCACGGCGCAAAACCGUCACCAAUAGCCUUUUUGCCGUGGCAAAACAGUAUUCGCGACGGCGCUGCGACGGCAAAACGUCCGUCACAAAUAGUGGCAUCGCCAAUGGUAUUUGCGACGGCAAUUACGCCGUCGCAAGAGAAUUAGCGACGGCAAACCUUUGUCGUCGCAAGAAGAUACGACGGUGUAAUUGCCGUCGCCAAUACCAUUAGUGACGCCACCAUUUGCGACCACAGCUUUUGCGACGGUAGCAAUGCCGUGGCAAAAGAGUUAUUUAUGAAUAAAAAAAAAUUGGCAUACAAAUAUACACUGCAAAUUUUUAUUAUUAUUUGCAUAAAAAAACAUACAAGGAAUAAGUCUAAUGUUAGGAAUGAUUCGUUUUAGGAAUCUUAAACCUAACAAGUUCACAAGAAAAUAAAGCUAAGUUUACAAGAUUAUAGUUUCAUGGUAGUGUUUACAAGAUUAUAGUUUCAUGGUAGUUAUCUGUCUCUCAAAAAAAAAUGUGUCUCUCCUCCAAGCUAGCAAGUACCCAGCCAAGUGAUAACAUUCUUGCUGCAGCAGCAUAUCCACAUAUCCUCUGUGCAAUUUGCUUGUGACUGCAUAUUUCAAAUUAAUCUUUGACACCAUCUGAUAAUGAAAGCCAUGGUUGAAUUUCAAAGUCAACUGCACCUUCCUAUAUGACAUCAAAUAUACUCUUUCAGUCUAUGCACAAGUAUAUAUAAAGUUAGGGGUGAUGAGAGCACAGUCAUAAAGAAUAUAAUGAAUGAAUUGAAUUUACCAGCCCAAAAUGGAGGUACACUACAGUAAGUAUCUAUCUCUAAUUCUUCUUUAC
rnacentral:lncRNA from 1 species